UGGAGAGUGGCCCCACCAUUGUGAAUGCUGGCAUUGGAGCCCAUCACAACCUAUAUCAAAAUGGGUGGGCUGAAAUGUGAACUUUCUAGUACUCCAGGGACACUUCCUAGUUAGCCAUCUGGAGGCAUAUCUUGGGUCUAACUUAUGAGCAAGUGAUUAAAAAAAAAAGUGAGGAGCAUCAGAAUUUGGCCACUAACCCGGACUAAUGACUCACAGGGUUGGCUAUUUGAAAGUCAUGCCUGCUACUCCCUGAUCUUAUUCAUUUCUUAAGUGACAUUUUGAUUAUUCUUUCUCUGUCUCCUCUACCUGCCAGGUGAGUGUUGGUGCCCCAUGGGGCUGACCCUGCUAUGUGUCUUUCUCUCUCACACUCUGGACAAUCACAUACAUUUUCAGGGCAUCAGUACCAUGUCUCAAAUCGGAUUUUCUAACUCUGACCUCUCCCCAGGCAUCAGAAAAAUAUACCAGCUGCCUGCAGGACAUCUCCCGUGGAUCCCCAGAAGUCCUCUACAUUCCUGCUGAGUGAUCCUUCCCACCACUCAACACUGGAACCCUCACUAUUAUUCUUAAUUCACUUGAUGUCAGCAUCAUCUGCCCAGACACCCAGACUCAAAAGCCACGUGUUUCUUCUCCCUCACAUGUCACAUCUAACUGAAUCAUCACGUCUUCAUUUGGUCCUCCAAAUACAUUUUUUGAAAUCUGUUUCCUCUUUCUCAUUCUUGUUGCCACUGUCCUGUAUAUUUUAAUGGGUCCUCCAGUAUGUCUGUGGGCUUCUUGAGAGCAUAUUGAGGAAAAGGGCAAGCGAUAUAUUCAUUCAAGCAUUCAUUCACUAAUUAACUUCACAAAAAAUUGAGACAUAUGUCGCAGCUACUGAGAAACACUGGGUUGAAUCUUUUGAGAAAAUUGAACUUGACCUGGAAACCUUAUAGUUUUUUCUCAUCCUGUCUAGGUUAAUACAAUUUCACGCUGGAUAUCUAGCUGUUGUCUAGCCAGAGAGCAAAGAUUAAAUGACAGUUCUUAUCAAUCAUUCCCAAAGUACCUCUCUCAAAACCAUAAGAUUCUGCCAAGUAAAUGCUUGAGGCUUUGAUUAAAAGGAUGUUUUGGCCACAAGUCACAUCUCUGAUUUUAUCAGAAUUUUUCAAAAGUAACUAUAAAAAUUCCAAACUCUGGGAGGGUCUCAGCAAAA
rnacentral:lncRNA from 10 species